UGGGCUUGUAGCUCAGUGGAUUAGAGCACGUGGCUACGAACCACGGUGUCGGGGGUUCGAAUCCCUUCUUGCCCGA
rnacentral:tRNA from 2 species